rnacentral:tRNA from 1 species
GGGGUUGUAGCUCAGUGGUAGAGUACUUGCCCGACAUGUGUGAGGCCCUGGGUUCCAUCCCCAGCACAACCCCU